AAAUAUUUUCUUUUUUUCAAGUUCAUACUGGAGGCUGAUUGAAAAUCCAGGCGAUUGAAUACUCAGUCUCUUAGUUACAGGGUAAAGGCACGUCUAUUUUGGUUAAACGCAGAACACGAAUAGAUUCAGUUGCAUCAAACUGAUCUUAUAACCAAUAUGGAAUCAGAAAAUGGCUCAGUUCUUAGCUUUAAGUAAACUAGGGCAGAGUGUUCCCAAGAUUCACCUUUACGAUGCGUUGCAGCCGGGCCAUAGACAUUAGCUCCAUUGUUCAGCUAACUCAGAAAUAAGCUGGCCCCACUCUCCUUGGCACUAGGCACCCAAGAUUUGUCUAGCAUCACAGCAACAGCAAUAAGAGAGGGUAGCAGUGUAUUGUAGGACAGUAACAUGGCCGCAUAACAAUACGGAAAUGCCAGUGCUGAACUGAUGAGUGUGUUGCUUGCUGGCCACGGUCCAGCUGUGGCCCUCUUGAUCAGUGGGCGGGGGACGGUUCCUGUCCCCUGUAGAAAAUAUAACAUUUUUCUUGGGUUUAUAAAAUAUCAGUGUCAAGAUGAGCAUUGACUUUGUCUUACAAAAUGUAUGUAGCGUGGAUGAAUAAACCGUUAUGUCCACUUGCAGCAAAGCAAGUCGUAGGUAGCACAGAAGCACAUUGAUUUUUUUUCUCUCCUAUCUUUCCAGGGCUCUGACUGGUCAAAAUUUGCCAGGCAGAAACGCAGCAAAUGUCACUGUUGCUCUUGGAUCCAAAUAAUGACCUUAUGCUGUGAAGUUUGCAACAGUCUCAUGCCCUCGUACAUUGCAGGGAGAGCUGGCUGGCUGAGUGGCGAAAUCCAGCCACAAAGAAUCAAGGGGUGGUGGUGGUAAUGCUGAGCUUGUAUCAGGCUUCAGAGUUUGCACACUAAUUAUGCCCACCAUUAGUCCUGUGGGACAGAACUCAGAUUUUCCUGCAUCCACAUUUUAGAACUGUUUGACAUCAUGGGAACGAUCGAUGCGACAAAUUAAGCCUUUGGCUUCAUGGCGUGAGAAGUUACAAAGGGGAUGAAAUGAAGAAAAGGGCUGGCAACUUACGAGAACAGGCUACUACUUCAUCUCUGCCCUAUCUGAGACCAUGAAAGCCUGCAGUCUAGCCCCUGGAAUGAAAAUACUGAAACAACAAGUACUAA